rnacentral:tRNA from 1 species
CGGGUGUAGCACAGUGGUAGUGCUCUAGCCUUCCAAGCUAGCCACGUGGGUUCGAUUCCCAUCACCC